GGGUUAAACUAUAACAAAAUAAUAUUGAUUUCACCAACCUAGUGUCUUUGUCAGCUCUCAGCACUCCAGUGUUUAGUCAGCCUGCUGCUUCCAGCUCUUCAAGAGAGAAAACAAACAUUCUCCCCUUACCUGCCUAGCAGGGAGGGGUUUAUUCCCACUGCUGCAGCUGAUUACCUGCAGCUGAGCAGUGGGUUGGAGACAGUCCAAAAACCCUGGCCUGGAUCUAUGACUCCCAAG